rnacentral:rRNA from 1 species
GGCAGCAGUAGGGAAUCUUCCGCAAUGGACGAAAGUCUGACGGAGCAACGCCGCGUGAGUGAUGAAGGUUUUCGGAUCGUAAAGCUCUGUUGUUAGGGAAGAACAAGUACCGUUCGAAUAGGGCGGUACCUUGACGGUACCUAACCAGAAAGCCACGGCUAACUACGUGCCAGCAGCCGCGGUAAUACGUAGGUGGCAAGCGUUGUCCGGAAUUAUUGGGCGUAAAGGGCUCGCAGGCGGUUUCUUAAGUCUGAUGUGAAAGCCCCCGGCUCAAC